rnacentral:miRNA from 1 species
AGAUUGAAACUUGAAUGGGGGAGAGAGAGAGAGAGAGAGAGAAGCAAAACUACUUCUUCUCCUUCCUUAUUCUUUAGUUCUACUGCUAGAAAGUACCAAUGUAUGCUAAUAAUCUUGGUUCUCAAUGGCUGUUGCUCUCUCUCUCUCUCUCUCUCUCCCUCUCUCAGUAGUAUUCU